GAAAACCGAAUCGGAUCAAAUGUGCUUAUGUCAGGUUAGUUGGUACACAUCUCUAUCUAGGAAUGUACUACCUGCUUUAAAAAUCUGUGCUAUUUUCCUCUAAAGUUAUACUUUGUGUCUAAAACUUGCAGAUGUAAUUGCUCUAGUUACAGGAAUCACGGAUUUUCUUCCUCCUACUGUAAAUGCACGGGAGCCAAGACGUCAAAUCUUUAUUACCAACCGACAAUAUACUAUCAUUUUUCUCACAUUUACAGCAGUGUACAUCAUCCAUGAAUGACCACUUCUACAAAAUUCAGCAACUUAACUAAUUAUGCAGGAGACACGCAAUAGUUAUGCUUUGGG
rnacentral:lncRNA from 1 species